rnacentral:piRNA from 2 species
UAGAGGAUGUGGCUUAAAAGAUAAGCUGA